rnacentral:snoRNA from 1 species
CUGUAUUUAAAAUUGCAACAGGUUAUGUCAAGAGAAAAGAUAUUUCUGAUGUGCUAAACAAACCUGUGGAGGUAAAUUAGCAGCAUGACUUGCCUUAGCCAUUGCUGUCAGCCACCUUCAGACAAGU